rnacentral:rRNA from 1 species
UACGUAGGGUGCGAGCGUUGUCCGGAAUUAUUGGGCGUAAAGAGCUCGUAGGCGGUUUGUUGCGUCGGCCGUGAAAACCUGCAGCUUAACUGUGGGCCUGCGGCCGAUACGGGCAGACUUGAGUUCGGUAGGGGAGACUGGAAUUCCUGGUGUAGCGGUGAAAUGCGCAGAUAUCAGGAGGAACACCGGUGGCGAAGGCGGGUCUCUGGGCCGAUACUGACGCUGAGGAGCGAAAGCGUGGGAGCGAACAGG